ACCGUCCAAGUCACAAUUAGUUCCCUGACGGGGGAGUUUCCCCCGGCCGGAAGCACAGGGACUUGGGCCCACAUUCCUGGAUGCUGCGAUUAUUACUCGGCAUCUGUACAGGGAACGUGGGUGCCUGGAACAUCUGGGCUGCCUUUGGACCAAAACGUCUGGGUCAUGUGCCCAGCCUCCCUUUUGUGACCUUCCCAAGGGGGCAGGCCAGGUCGGCAGGGAACUGGAACUAUUUUUGAGAAGGCCACUGGCAGAGGUCGCCUCAUCCACUGCCCAAGUACCCCACAUUCUCCGUUCUCUAGGCCAAGAGUUUGUGGAGCUAUUGAAAUGGGAGUAAGGGAGGAGCAAGGCCAAAGGAGAGGAGGAAGAGUACGCAAACUGGCCUGUGAAGACACUCGUCCACGUCCAAUCCUUGCUAGAUGGUCUUAUCAGUGGUCCCCCUGAUGUCUCAUCCCUCUGAGGAAAGCAUCUGGACCUGGCCUGGCCAAGGGGCACUGCAUGAGGAGCUUUUUCAGGUCACAGGCUGUCUGGGCUUUCUCCGCCUGAGUGGAUGUGUUUGCAAAGUGGAUGAGUGACCUUUCAUUCCUGGACACCCAGAGGGCCAAUCAGUCUGUUCUUGCUCCACUGAGAAAACUGAAUAAAGUGCUUGCCACUUGAAAUGAGA